GAGAAGAAAAAAAGAGAGAGACAGGGAGGCGAGACCAUUUAGUUUCUUCAUCAGAGUUGCAGAGAAUUUCAUUAUGUCAAUUGAACGGUUCCCAAUCUAUUCGUCAUAUUUUCUUAUGGUUCUCAAACAAUCAACACUUCAUACAAUGAAUCGCUAUGACUCCCCCCACACUCCAAUGUCUCUCGAUAACGUAAACAUCUUAUCAAAAUAGGGAUCAAACGCAAUUGCAGUGGAAUACAGAAAAUUUCUGAUUUUAGGCAAUGUUAUUUCACCGAAGAUAAGACAAAUGUUCUUCAAACUCAUUGAACAUCGUCAACUCGAUAUAUCCAUGGAGAAAGAGUCUUCACCGACGGGAGCUUGCACCGUGCUUUUUCUUCUUCCAUAUUCUCCUCAAUUAUGUUGGGUGUUAGGCUUCUGAAAUAUCAUCUGUUAUCAUCACAAGAAGGAUACAACCAAGUACCCAAUAUGAAACCCUUGGUGGUGCUGAAUCUCACGAUGAAGUUUGGGAUGGUCAAUUAAAAAAUACUAAAUGCAUUAAGUUGAUUUUUCAGAAUUUUUGUUUUCAGAAUUACUGGAUGCAUUAGGUGCAUAUAUCGGCUGAGGAACAAAAUGAUUUAUGAACUUGCGGACGCAGCUGAAACUGGGAAAACAUAAAGGAUCUAUCAGAUUACGCACACAUCACUUGUCGAUAUUAACAUUAAACUGUACCCAGAAAAAUGCUCAAAAACUAUGGAGAAACUCACCACUGGCUGCAGUAAUGGUUUAUUAAGAUAAUCUAAUCUUCCUUCUGGAUAAUUAUCAGAGGCUUUAUGAUACAUAUAUAUAUAUUGGAGAUCCUCGGGGAGACAGCGAUGGUGGGAAGUCUAUUUAGGGUAGGGAAUUCGAGGAUGUAUUCUACAAACGGUAACUCCUAUUGCUGAUUAACAAUAGUAUGUUACAAAUUUAAUUCGGUUUUCUUCUAGGAUCAUAUGAUUAGAAGCUUAUAACAGCGAAAAUCUCUUUUAUUUCCUCUCCCUCUCAGAUUGUUAUCAUUAUCUGUUCUUUCUAGAAUCAGGUUCUUCUUUCUAGAAUCAGGUUCUUAUUUGUUACGAAGAGCUUACAUAUGAGAAAUGGUUAAGGCAUGAUAAACCUUUCACCCUGUCCAUGGACAAUUAAUGUGCGGUAAAAAAACUAAUGCCGCCAGUUCUUUGUAACCAUUGUAGCAACACCGUGGAUGGAUAAUAAGCAUGCUAUACUCGAUAAAGUUAUGAAGAAAAUGGACGAGGUGCAGGUAUUUUUACUUUUGUAUCGUUACUCAUUCCCUAGAAAUUUCCUCGUAUGUUUGCAAUCAUCAAGUUAAAUAAUGAUCCAUGUAUGAAAUCUUGAUUCUUAACGACAUUCAACAAAUCAGGACAUUUUCACAUAUUACCAUAAAAAUCCCUUAACUUCUCAAUCCCUCUAUUUAAUUUUGUUAGAUGAUCCACCAUUUAAGCAUCUUACAGUUUGUUGUUUGAGUUCGUACUUACGGAAUAUCCAUUGCAAUAAUAUGUUUUCCAUGAAAUACACUUGCUUAAACAUUUCCAGUUUUGUGACUAUCUAUUUACAAGCUAAAAGUUAUGGCAGCAGUAACUUUAAUCUUAACUAUUGUGGGUUCUUGAUGGUUUAUCUCUGAAACACACUGUGUGAAAGAUGGUGGAAGUUAAGAUGUCUUCUAGGUUGGUUCGAAGUUCAAAUCCGCCGGAAAUUUAUGGAAUUACACAACAACUACAUUGUCCAGUUCGAAUAGCAUGUUAAUUAAGGUUUGUAUCAUUACAAGUGAAACAACAACUAAGAAGCCAGUUAUUGCAGUUUCAACCUUAGCUUUCGUCAAAGAGUUAAGGACACAUUUUGAAGAUGUGGUGGAAGAGUGCAUAAAUUUUUUUCAUUAUUUUAAAGGUCACGAUCCAACUAUUUUGAUCGACUGCACUUGAAGAGUGCUUCUUGCGGGCGCGUGUGGUUCCAAGACGAUGUGUAGUAAUAUAUUAGUAGUGGGAUGUUUAACUUCAUUUUCUUGAAACUCAUGUAUGUUAUUACUUAGCUUAUUCAAAAGGAAAGGUUUAUCCUCACGCUUAAUGCAUUACCAAAAAUGAAGUGCCCAUGCCCUUACAGCCAUGUUUCACUUUGGAGCCUUUGGUAGCUGUUGACGAUAUUAAUUAUCAUUUCAACCUACA